GGAAUAUUGGACAAUGGGGGAAACCCUGAUCCAGCAAUGCCGCGUGAGUGAUGAAGGCCUUAGGGUUGUAAAGCUCUUUUACCUGGGAUGAUAAUGACAGUACCGGGAGAAUAAGCCCCGGCUAACUCCGUGCCAGCAGCCGCGGUAAUACGGAGGGGGCUAGCGUUGUUCGGAAUUACUGGGCGUAAAGCGCACGUAGGCGGCUUUUUAAGUCAGGGGUGAAAUCCCGGGGCUCAACCCCGGAACUGCCUCUGAAACUGGAUGGCUAGAAUCUUGGAGAGGCGAGUGGAAUUCCGAGUGUAGAGGUGAAAUUCGUAGAUAUUCGGAAGAACACCAGUGGCGAAGGCGACUCGCUGGACAAGUAUUGACGCUGAGGUGCGAAAGCGUGGGGAGCAAAC
rnacentral:rRNA from 1 species